rnacentral:rRNA from 1 species
UGGGGAAGUAUUGCACAAUGGGCGGCAAGCCUGAUGCAGCCAUGCCGCGUGUAUGAAGAAGGCCUUCGGGUUGUAAGUACUUUCAGCGAGGAGGAAGGCAUUAAGGUUAAUAACCUUAGUGAUUGACGUUACUCGCAGAAGAAGCACCGGCUAACUCCGUGCCAGCAGCCGCGGUAAUACGGAGGGUGCAAGCGUUAAUCGGAAUUACUGGGCGUAAAGCGCACGCAGGCGGUCUGUCAAGUCGGAUGUGAAAUCCCCGGGCUCAACCUGGGAACUGCAUUCGAAACUGACAGGCUAGAGUCUUGUAGA